rnacentral:rRNA from 1 species
UACAGAGGUGGCAAGCGUUGUUCGGAAUUACUGGGCGUAAAGGGCGCGUAGGCGGUCUUCUAAGUCUUGUGUGAAAUCCCUCGGCUCAACUGAGGAACUGCACGGGAUACUGGAAGACUUGAGUUCGGGAGAGGGAAGCGGAAUUCCGGGUGUAGCGGUGAAAUGCGUAGAUAUCAGGAGGAACACCGGUGGCGAAGGCGGAUCUCUGGGCCUUACCUGACGCUCAGGCGCGAAAGCUAGGGGAGCGAACAGG